rnacentral:lncRNA from 1 species
UCCCUUGACAACAAUGUUAUUUCUCAAACUAUACUUUGUUUAAUGAAAAUUGAUGCAAAAAUAAAUUUUGCAAAAAUAUUUAGCUAAUGAAAAUUGAUGCAAAAAUAAAUUUUGCAAAAAUAUUUAGCUAAAAGGAUGUAAACAAAAAUAAUGAUUUUUAUUGACAUCAAAAUCAACUAUUAUAACACCAAUAUUAUAAUAGGUUCAUUUAUCAAAAAUAAGAAAUUUAUUUAUUAAG